AGAGUUGCUUGAAGAUAUUACAAUGCACAGGCAGACAGAAGAUUACAUGAAUUAAAACAUGGUUCACCUGGAAUUCCAUAAAGGUGUUUUCUCAUAAACCCGCUGGCAUAUGGUUAGUAUAAGGGCACACACAGCUAAUGACCAGUGAAUGCCAUUUCUAAAACUGUUUGUAUUUUGUCUUCAUGUAAUGUUCUGGAAUACUGGAACCUUGUGGGUGUAAUGAGCCCAGACCUCUCAUUCUGAAGUGAUCAAGAAAACUGUUCUUUCAGUGGUUGUUGGGCCAUCUGACCUCAGAAAUGACUACUGAUCUUUUGAAGAUGACUGAUCCUCACAAGAGGAGAUAAGUGAAGCAAAUGAAACCUGUACUUCAAAGUUAGA